UGUAGUCUCGCACAGAUGCAUAUCAAUAAGCGGAGGAAAAGAAACUAACAAGGAUUCCCCUAGUAACGGCGAGUGAAGCGGGAAGAGCUCAAAUUUGAAAUCUUAAAGGGUUUCCCUUUACGAAUUGUAGUUUAAAGAAGUGUUUUCUGUUGAGGUUUUGGUAAAAGUUCUUUGGAAUAGGACAUCAUAGAGGGUGAGAAUCCCGUAUUUGACCUUUACUUUCAACUUUGUGAUACACUUUCAAAGAGUCGGAUUGUUUGGGAAUGCAGUCCAAAAUGGGUGGUAAAUUUCAUCUAAAGCUAAAUAUUGGCGAGAGACCGAUAGCGAACAAGUACCGUGAGGGAAAGAUGAAAAGAACUUUGAAAAGAGAGUUAAACAGUACGUGAAAUUGUCAAAAGGGAAGCGUUUGACACCAGUGUUGUUUUUCUGAAAAUCAAUUAAAGAACUGUUUAUGCUAAGCUUGUUUAGACUUUAUCAGCUAUCUGUUUAGUUUUGAGCUUUUCUUUAAUGCACUUUUCAGUUAACAAGUCAACAUCAAUUUCUUUUGCUGUAAAAAAGCUUGAGGAAGGUGGCUUGAGAUUCGUCUUAAGUGUUUAUAGCCUCUUGCCUAUGCAGUCGGAGAGAUUGAGGUCUGCAGCGUAGAUCCUUCGGGGCUAAAUGCAUUUGUGCUAAGUUAUAGCAUUUUAUAGACAACUUGUUGACUAUGAUUUGUCUUGUAGCUUACUCGCUUAUGUUAUUUUACCUACGCUUAGGAUGUUGACGCAUGAGAUAUACGC
rnacentral:rRNA from 1 species